GGAAAGGCUCUGCCUGCCUGCUUGAAAUGCAAAUCCCUCUGCUCUCUCUUUGACUUAAUAUGCAGUUUGGCUUGAGGAAAUGAAACAUUUUGCAAUUGCACGGAGCUUAUAGAAGACUUCUGUUUGUACACAAAGCCUAAGCCCUCAUGCCCAACAGGAGGCACUGGGAGCAGCAGCAGGAGAGGAAGGCACUCAAGAGGCCUCUCUGGCUCCUCCAAGUAAAACCUGCAGCCUUAAGUCCUGCUGAUGGGAGAGGAAGCAUCGAACAGACCCCCAAGGGCCCAAUGAUCAGAGGAUUUGCCAAGUUACAUGAAAUUUCUCUUUUAAGAGACAAAGGAAAUGAAAGAUGAGCUGGAAGCAAGGCCAUGUGCCCCCACUGUUCCUUACCCGGCCCCUCCUAGACAUUAUUUACAGCAGCUGGAAGCGCUGGAGCCUGCCUUUCCAAGCUCACCGAAGAAGUCAGUGGGAACCUUUCCAGUGACUCUGUGGUCUUGCUGAAAAUCACUGAGGUUUGGUCUGUGCUCCUUUAAGGCUGCAGCCAGGGUAUGAGUGGUGGGACACAACCUAAACUGAAACUGCUGCUGGGGGGGGAGGGACAACACGACACCAAUUAUUCUCCAAGCUGAGAAAAUAAUAUAUUAAAAAAAAAACCAAAAAAAACAAAAAACAAAAACCUUUCCAAGCAGCUUUAUUUCAAUUUUAAAGAGCAGCUGCAGCUGGAGUUGUGCCAACUGUGCAGCCUCGCUCAGCAGACACAGGCUGAACAUCACAAUAGCUUCGGGUAUUGAUGAUUUUAAGACCUGAGGAGCCUUUUCCAGCCCUUUAACCCUCAAAAUACUGCUGUAAUUUCAGAGCUCUGGUUUCAGGAUUGUUUCAUAGUGUCAAGCAUGGGCCUAGGAAUAGCUACUGCCACAAGAAGAAUAUGUUCAAUCCUGGUACUGCCAGCUCAGCUCUUCAUCUUGCACAGACAGACAACUUGAACACCACACAAAUUGUCGAGCAUAGGCUGCUCAGACUCAGCAUUAAAAAUGGAGAGAAACAGCUUUACAGCAUUUCUCUAAG
rnacentral:lncRNA from 14 species